rnacentral:rRNA from 1 species
GAUGAACGCUAGCUACAGGCUUAACACAUGCAAGUCGAGGGACCGGCGCACGGGUGAAUAACACGUAUCCAACCUGCCCUUUAAUCGGGGAUAGCCUUUAGAAGGAAAGAUUAAUACCCGAUAUAAAGGAUGGGGAUGCGUUCCAUUAGGUGGUGGGUGAGGUAACGGCUCACCAAACCUUCGAUGGAUAGGGGUUAUGAGAGGAAGGUACCCCGCAUUGGAACGGAGACACGGUCCAAACUCCUACGGAAGGCAGCAGUGAGGAAUAUUGGUCAAUGGGCGCUAGCCUGAACCAGCCAAGUAGCGUGAAGGAUGAAGGCUUAUGGGUCGUAAACUUCUUGUAUAUAAGAAUAUGUAUUAUAUGAAUAAGGAUCGGCUAACUCCGUGCCAGCCGCCGCGGUAAUUC